rnacentral:rRNA from 1 species
GACGAACGCUGGCGGCGUGCUUAACACAUGCGAGUCGAACGGAAAGGCCCUGCUUUUGUGGGGUGCUCGAGUGGCGAACGGGUGAGGAACACGUGAGUAACCUGCCCUUGACUUUGGGAUAACUUCAGGAAACUGGGGCUAAUAUCGGAUAGGAGCUCCUGCUGCAUGGUGGGGGGUGGAAAGUUGCGGCGGUUGGGGAUGGACUCGCGGCUUAUGAGCUUGUUGGUUGGGUAGUGGCUUACCAAGGCUUUGACUGGUAGCCGGCCUGGGAGGGUGACCGGCGACAUUGGGACUGAGAUAGGGCCCAGACUCCUACGGGAGGCAGCAGUGGGGAAUAUUGCACAAUGGGCGGAAGCGUGAUGCAGCAACGCCGCGUGCGGGAUGACGGCCUUCGGGUUGUAAACCGCUUUCGCCUGUGACGAAGCGUUAGUGACGGUAAUGGGUAAAGAAGCACCGGCUAACUACGUG